UACGAAGGGGGCUAGCGUUGCUCGGAAUCACUGGGCGUAAAGGGUGCGUAGGCGGGUCUUUAAGUCAGGGGGGAAAUCCUGGAGCUCAACUCCAGAACUGCCUUUGAUACUGGGGAUCUUGAGUACGGGAGAGGUGAGUGGAACUGCGAGUGUAGAGGUGAAAUUCGUAGAUAUUCGCAAGAACACCAGUGGCGAAGGCGGCUCACUGGCCCGUUACUGACGCUGAGGCACGAAAGCGUGGGGAGCAAACAGG
rnacentral:rRNA from 1 species